UUUUACCAAGGUCAUAAGUCAUGUCGUCACACUAUGCUUGCACAAGGGUGACAGCAUGACUUCAUGACCUGCCCCGCAAUGAGGAUAAAAGCAUGGCGAAAGCCAUGCGAUAUCCGAAUUGCGGGUAGGAUUGCGGGAGUGCAAGGCACGGAGCAAUCCGAAGAUAAAA
rnacentral:sRNA from 1 species